AAAUUGAAGAGUUUGAUCAUGGCUCAGAUUGAACGCUGGCGGCAGGCCUAACACAUGCAAGUCGAGCGGAAACGAGUUAUCUGAACCUUCGGGGGACGAUAACGGCGUCGAGCGGCGGACGGGUGAGUAAUGCCUAGGAAAUUGCCCUGAUGUGGGGGAUAACCAUUGGAAACGAUGGCUAAUACCGCAUGAUGCCUACGGGCCAAAGAGGGGGACCUUCGGGCCUCUCGCGUCAGGAUAUGCCUAGGUGGGAUUAGCUAGUUGGUGAGGUAAGGGCUCACCAAGGCGACGAUCCCUAGCUGGUCUGAGAGGAUGAUCAGCCACACUGGAACUGAGACACGGUCCAGACUCCUACGGGAGGCAGCAGUGGGGAAUAUUGCACAAUGGGCGCAAGCCUGAUGCAGCCAUGCCGCGUGU
rnacentral:rRNA from 1 species